rnacentral:rRNA from 1 species
UACGUAGGUGGCAAGCGUUGUCCGGAUUUACUGGGCGUAAAGAGCGCGCAGGCGGUCGUGCAAGUCGCGUGUGAAAGCCCCCGGCUCAACUGGGGAGGGUCACGCGAUACUGAUCGACUCGAAGGCAGGAGAGGGUAGUGGAAUUCCCGGUGUAGUGGUGAAAUGCGUAGAUAUCGGGAGGAACACCAGUGGCGAAGGCGACUACCUGGCCUGUUCUUGACGCUGAGGCGCGAAAGCUAGGGGAGCAAACGGGG